AUUGAACGCUGGCGGCAUGCUUUACACAUGCAAGUCGAACGGUAACAGGCCGCAAGGUGCUGACGAGUGGCGGACGGGGGCGUAAUGCAAAGGAACGUGCACAGUCGUGGGGGGUCACUGCUCGCAAGAGUAGCUAGUACCGCAUACGGGCUAAUGAUGUGAACGGGGGAGCGUAAGAGUUCGAGCGAGUGUUGCGGUCGCUUAUAGAUGGAGUCGUGCUGGAUUAGCUAGUUGGUAAGGUAACGGCUUACCAAGUCAACGAUGCGUAGCAGGACUGAGAGGGUGACCAGCCACACUGGAACUGAGACACGGUCCAGACUCCUACGGGAGGCAGCAGUAGGGAAUUUUGGACAAUGGGCGAAAGCCUGACCCAGCAACGCCGCGUGAAGGAAGAAGGUCUUCGGAUUGUAAAACGCUUUUGUACGGAACGAAACGGCUCUUGUGAAUCCCCGGGGCUAAUGACGGUACCGAAAGAAUAAGCACCGGCUAACUACGUG
rnacentral:rRNA from 1 species